GUGCCCACUUCGGCAGCACAUACACUAAAAUUGGAAUGAUACAGAGAAGAUUAGCAUGGCCCCUGAGCAAGGAUGACAUGCAAAUUCAUGAAUUGGUCCAUAUUUUU